UACAGAGGUGGCGAGCGUUGUUCGGAUUUAUUGGGCGUAAAGCGUCCGUAGGCCGCUUGGAAAGUUGGAUGUGAAAUCCUGCAGCUUGACUGCAGAACUGCAUUCAAAACUCCCAGGCUAGAGGAUGAGAGGGGUAGAGGGAAUUCCCGGUGUAAGGGUGAAAUCUGCAGAGAUCGGGAAGAACACCAGUCGCGAAGGCGCUCUACUGGCUCAUAUCUGACGCUGAGGGACGAAAGCUAGGGGAGCAAACGGG
rnacentral:rRNA from 1 species